rnacentral:rRNA from 1 species
GGUUAAGCGACUAAGCGUACACGGUGGAUGCCCUGGCAGUCAGAGGCGAUGAAGGACGUGCUAAUCUGCGAAAAGCGUCGGUAAGGUGAUAUGAACCGUUACAGCCGGCGAUGUCCGAAUGGGGAAACCCAGUGCAAUUCGUUGCACUAUCGUUAACUGAAUACAUAGGUUAACGAGGCGAACCGGGGGAACUGAAACAUCUAAGUACCCCGAGGAAAAGAAAUCAACCGAGAUUCCCCCAGUAGCGGCGAGCGAACGGGGAGCAGCCCAGAGUCUGAAUCAGCUUGUGU